UACGGAGGGAGCUAGCGUUAUUCGGAAUUACUGGGCGUAAAGCGUACGUAGGCGGCUUUGUAAGUAAGAGGUGAAAGCCCGGAGCUCAACUCCGGAACUGCCUUUUAGACUGCAUCGCUUGAAUCCAGGAGAGGUGAGUGGAAUUCCGAGUGUAGAGGUGAAAUUCGUAGAUAUUCGGAAGAACACCAGUGGCGAAGGCGGCUCACUGGACUGGUAUUGACGCUGAGGUACGGAAAGCGUGGGGGAGCAAACAGG
rnacentral:rRNA from 1 species